rnacentral:rRNA from 1 species
UACGGAGGAUCCAAGCGUUAUCCGGAUUUAUUGGGUUUAAAGGGUGCGUAGGCGGAAUUGUAAGUCAGUGGUGAAAACUUGCAGCUUAACUGUAAAAUUGCCAUUGAUACUGCUAUUCUUGAGUACAAUUGAGGUAGGCGGAAUGUGUAAUGUAGCGGUGAAAUGCUUAGAUAUUACACAGAACACCGAUUGCGUAGGCAGCUUACCAAGUUAUGAUUGACGCUGAGGCACGAAAGCGUGGGGAUCGAACAGG